UAGUUGGUGGGGUAAAGGCCUACCAAGGCGACGAUCUGUAGCGGGUCUGAGAGGAUGAUCCGCCACACUGGAACUGAGACACGGUCCAGACUCCUACGGGAGGCAGCAGUGGGGAAUUUUGGACAAUGGGGGCAACCCUGAUCCAGCCAUGCCGCGUGAGUGAAGAAGGCCUUCGGGUUGUAAAGCUCUUUCGUCCGGGAAGAAAUCGCACAGGCUAAUACUCUGUGUGGAUGACGGUACCGGAAUAAGAAGCACCGGCUAACUACGUGCCAGCAGCCGCGGUAAUACGUAGGGUGCGAGCGUUAAUCGGAAUUACUGGGCGUAAAGCGUGCGCAGGCGGUUUUGUAAGACAGGCGUAAAAUCCCCGGGCUCAACCUGGGAACUGCGCUUGUGACUGCAAGGCUAGAGUACGGCAGAGGGGGGUGGAAUUCCACGUGUAGCAGUGAAAUGCGUAGAGAUGUGGAGGAACACCGAUGGCGAAGGCAGCCCCCUGGGCCGAUACUGACGCUCAUGCACGAAAGCGUGGGUAGCAAACAGGAUUAGAUACCCUGGUAGUCCACGCCCUAAACGAUGUCAACUAGGUGUUGGGUGGGUAAAACCAUUUAGUACCGUAGCUAACGCGUGAAGUUGACCGCCUGGGGAGUACGGCCGCAAGGUUAAAACUCAAAGGAAUUGACGGGGACCCGCACAAGCGGUGGAUGAUGUGGAUUAAUUCGAUGCAACGCGAAAAACCUUACCUACCCUUGACAUGUCCGGAAUCCCUGAGAGAUUGGGGAGUGCCCGAAAGGGAAUCGGAACACAGGUGCUGCAUGGCUGUCGUCAGCUCGUGUCGUGAGAUGUUGGGUUAAGUCCCGCAACGAGCGCAACCCUUGUCGUUAAUUGCCAUCAUUUAGUUGGGCACUUUAGCGAGACUGCCGG
rnacentral:rRNA from 1 species